CUUCAAUUUAAACACAAAAUCUCACACGUAUAAAGGCAAGACUACUCCAGUACAACUAAGCUACAUAUUUUAACCAUUAACGACAACAACAGAAAACUAAACAGACUAUAAACCCAGCAGGCCAUAAGUGACUUGGGCUGUUCACUAUGAAAAUUCUCAUCGUGUAACACUUAGAAUUACAUCUGUAACAAAUGAUCCACUCUACAUAUGAUUGCAUGCAUUCUGCAACAACUUUUUCUUUCAUACUGUUACAGCUCGUAACCUAGCAAAUGAUCCAUUAAUUGAGACUAUGAACUUGAAUUUAAACGUGCCAUAUAAUACAUACACAACCCAAACUCUAAAAUAAACUGCUUCAGACAAUAAACCAACACAAAAGGGCUACAAUCUUUCAACUUGCAGUAAAGUGCUCAAUUCUUACAGAGAAUCAGGUUAUCAUUCAGAAAUGACUACCAAAAGUAAA
rnacentral:misc_RNA from 1 species